GGGAAAGCCAGAAGGAGAGAGACAACUAGAAAGACCAAGAGGUCACUCCAUCAAUGGGGGAAAAUUGUGUGUGACACGCAGAGAGGCCGAUGAAGAGCUGGGAAUCAGAAACCUCUAUAGAAAAUGGGGAAUCUGUGGACCCUCAUUAGUAGCCUUGAUGAGACCAGACCUCUGGCAGAGAAAACGGUUCAGCUGAGUAGCGAGUCCCACUUGGACAAACAUUUUUCAGUUUCUCCCCUGCAGUGGAAGAAAUACCUUGUUGUGGAGCUAAGGGCAUUACAACUUCCAUCCACAUCACUAGUAAAGCACCACAGACUGCAGAGUUUAAUGCAGACAGUGAUGAGACUUAUAAAGCAGGGUACGAAACCCCAUGAUUACACGAUCAUGAAGGUAAACUUCGAUAUAUGAUAUAAAUUCCGU